rnacentral:ncRNA from 2 species
CUCUUAUCAAGAGUAGCUGAGGGACUGGCCCUAUGAAGCUCGGCAACCUUCCAAUACAUCGGUAUUGUGAAAGGUGCUAAUUCCAGCAAGAUGACAAAAUCUUGAUAGAUAAGAG